GACAGAGGUGCCAAGCGUUAGGCGGAAUCACUGGGCUUAAAGCGUGUGUAGGCGGAUGUCUAAGUACCUUGUGAAAUCCCACGGCUCAACCGUGGAACUGCUUGGUAUACUGGAUGUCUUGAGCCAUCUAGGGGCUACCGGAACAAAUGGUGGAGCGGUGAAAUGCGUAGAUAUCAUUUGGAACGCCAAAGGUGAAAACAGACAGCUGGGGAUGUGCUGACGCUGAGACACGAAAGCCAGGGGAGCGAACGGG
rnacentral:rRNA from 1 species